GACGAACGCUGGCGGCGUGCUUAACACAUGCAAGUCGAACGGUAAGGCCCUUCGGGGUACACGAGUGGCGAACGGGUGAGUAACACGUGGGUGAUCUGCCCUGCACUUCGGGAUAAGCCUGGGAAACUGGGUCUAAUACCGGAUAGGACUCCUGGCCGCAUGGGUGGUGGUGGAAAGCUUUUGCGGUGUGGGAUGGGCCCGCGGCCUAUCAGCUUGUUGGUGGGGUGAUGGCCUACCAAGGCGACGACGGGUAGCCGGCCUGAGAGGGUGACCGGUCACACUGGGACUGAGAUACGGCCCAGACGCCUACGGGAGGCAGCAGUGGGGAAUAUUACACAAUGGGCGCAAGCCUGAUGCAGCGACGCCGCGUGAGGGAUGACGGCCUUCGGGUUGUAAACCUCUUUCAGCAAUGACGAAGCGAAAGUGACGGUAGGAGCAGAAGAAGGACCGGCCAACUACGUGCCAGCCGCCGCCGUAA
rnacentral:rRNA from 1 species